CCCUUAGAUGUCCUGGGCCGCACGCGCGCUACACUGAGUGUCUGAGAUACGAGUCUGCCUGGUCCGGCAAGGUCUAGGUAAUCGCUAAAAGACACAUCAUGCUUGGGAUAGAUUAUUGCAAAUAUUAAUCUUGAACGAGGAAUUCCUAGUAAGCGCAAGUCAACAGCUUGCGUUGAUUACGUCCCUGCACUUUGUACACACCGCCCGUCGCUACUACUGAUUGGAUGUUUAAGCGAGGUUCUCGAACUGCUAGCGACUUAGCUUCGGUGAGGUCGCAGUGUGGGAAGUGAACCUAGCUUUGGUGUCUAGAGGAAGUAAAAGUCGUAACA
rnacentral:rRNA from 1 species